UACGUAGGGGGCAAGCGUUGUCCGGAUUUAUUGGGCGUAAAGAGCGUGUAGGCGGCCGCACAGGUCCGUUGUGAAAACUGGAGGCUUAACCUUCAGACGUCGAUGGAAACCGUGCGGCUAGAGUCCGGAAGAGGAGAAUGGAAUUCCUGGUGUAGCGGUGAAAUGCGUAGAUAUCGAGAGGAACGCCUGCGGCGAAGGCGGGUUGCUGGGCUGACACUGACGCUGAGGCGCGAAAGCUAGGGGAGCGAACGGG
rnacentral:rRNA from 1 species